rnacentral:rRNA from 1 species
AACGAACGCUGGCGGCAUGCCUAACACAUGCAAGUCGAACGAGACCUUCAGGUCUAGUGGCGCACGGGUGCGUAACGCGUUGGAACCUGCCCUUAGGUUCGGAAUAACUCCCCGAAAGGGGUGCUAAUACCGGAUAAUGUCUUCGGACCAAAGAUUUAUCGCCUUUGGAUGGGCCCGCGUUGGAUUAGCUAGUUGGUAGGGUAAAAGCCUACCAAUGCGACGAUCCAUAGCUGGUUUGAGAGGAUGAUCAGCCACACUGGGACUGAGACACGGCCCAGACUCCUACGGGAGGCAGCAGUGGGGAAUAUUGGAAAAUGGGCGAAAGGCUGAUCCAGCAAUGCCGCGUGAGUGAUGAAGGCCUUAGGGUUGUAAAGCUCUUUUACCCGGGAUGAUAAUGACAGUACCGGGAGAAUAAGCUCCGGCUAACUCCGUG